rnacentral:misc_RNA from 1 species
UCCGGUUUGUCACCGGCAGUCUCCUAUGAGUCCUCAACUGAAUGCUGGCAACAUGCGACGGGGGUUGCGCUCGUUGCGGGACUUAACCCAACAUCUCACGACACGAGCUGACGACAGCCAUGCAGCGCCUGUGUUCCCGUUCCCUUUCGGGCACACCCGGGUUUCCCCAGGCUUCGGGACAUGUCAAGGGUAGGUAAGGUUUUUCGCGUUGCAUCGAAUUAAUCCACAUAAUCCACCGCUUGUGCGGGUCCCCGUCAAUUCCUUUGAGUUUUAACCUUGCGGCCGUACUCCCCAGGCGGUCGACUUCGCGCGUUAGCUGCGUUACUAAGGGAUUUAACUCCCCCAACAACUAGUCAUCAUCGUUUAGGGCGUGGACUAC